CUAGUCUGAUUGGUAGUACACUCAUCAGCAAAAAUAGGUUUGCCAAGAACACUGGCAAUCCUACUCAAAGACCUAUUAUCCCAGCAUGACAUAGGGAGCCUAGGAAACUUUACCCAUAGAGGAAUGUCAUUAGGUAAAGCAGCAGUGAAGUCAAAAUCAGGAGUCCAUUGCUUCAAAACCAUAGGUCUGUUAGCAAUGGUAUAUGGACCAGCACAUAUGACCUCCUUAGCAUCUUCCAUGGUUUGAAAUUUAGCUACAUAAUAACCCUCCUCAUGGUAGUAUAGAUCUGGCUCUGGAACNNN
rnacentral:lncRNA from 1 species